UACAGAGGUCUCAAGCGUUGUUCGGAUUCAUUGGGCGUAAAGGGUGCGUAGGCGGGUUGGUAAGUCAGUGGUGAAAUCCCCGAGCUUAACUUGGGAACUGCCAUUGAUACUAUCAGUCUUGAAUACCGUGGAGGUCAGUGGAAUAUGUCAUGUAGCGGUGAAAUGCUUAGAUAUGACAUAGAACACCAAUUGCGAAGGCAGCUGGCUACACGAAUAUUGACACUGAGGCACGAAAGCGUGGGGAUCAAACAGG
rnacentral:rRNA from 1 species